CUCUCUCUCUCUCUCUCUUUCAUAUAUUUCUCUGGGACGAACGCGCGUCAACUCGGACAGAAUACUUAUAAAUUUUCUUAAACAAAGUAUGAAAGUUGAAUAAUAAUGGGGAUAAAUCCGGAGUAAUAGAGUUUGCCGAGUAGACAUGCGCCCUUCUUGGACCAAGGUGCCGGCCUUGCCCCAUAUUUCUUCGAAAUGGCCGCGCAGAGAGUGGAGUGACGUUCGAUAUCUUGAACGUAGACGAUGUCGGUGUCGAAGGAGCCUAGACGACAACAGGGGCCGCCGACGACGCCGACGGCACGACGCUACUCUCUGCUCUUUUGACGACAACUCUGACAAUGAGGGAGGUGAAGGGAAAUGCAUCGAGACGCACUGGCGUAUACGGAGACUUCAAUUAUGAGUGAGCGAUGAUGCUCGGUGCGUGAAGUACUAUUGAUUCGCCCUGCAGCCAGAAUAGGCAGGCAUCCAUAUUCGAUUUUCAAGCGUGCCCAACUACAUUGUCAUUUAGUGACGCAUACGAACGAACAUAUAGUACGAUACACGUGCCGUCUAUAACUCGUUCCAUUUUAAUAUCUUUUGUAAUUAUCAUAUUGUUUAUGAAUGAAUAAACGACAAAUUAAAGAAA